rnacentral:rRNA from 1 species
AUUGAACGCUGGCGGCAUGCCUUACACAUGCAAGUCGAACGGUAACGCGGGGGGCAACCCUGGCGACGAGUGGCGAACGGGUGAGUAAUACAUCGGAACGUACCCAGUAGUGGGGGAUAGCUCGGCGAAAGCCGGAUUAAUACCGCAUACGACCUAUGGGUGAAAGCGGGGGAUCGCAAGACCUCGCGCUAUUGGAGCGGCCGAUGUCGGAUUAGCUAGUUGGUGAGGUAAAGGCUCACCAAGGCUACGAUCCGUAGCUGGUCUGAGAGGACGACCAGCCACACUGGGACUGAGACACGGCCCAGACUCCUACGGGAGGCAGCAGUGGGGAAUUUUGGACAAUGGGCGAAAGCCUGAUCCAGCCAUGCCGCGUGUGUGAAGAAGGCCUGGUGUAAG